rnacentral:misc_RNA from 1 species
GAUGAAGAACGUAGCGAAAUGCGAUAAGUAGUGUGAAUUGCAGAAUUCAGUGAAUCAUCGAAUCUUUGAACGCACAUUGCGCCCUUUGGUAUUCCAAAGGGCAUGCCUGUUCGAGCGUCAUUUGUACCCUCAAGCUUUGCUUGGUGUUGGGCGUCUUGUCUCUAGCUUUGCUGGAGACUCGCCUUAAAGUAAUUGGCAGCCGGCCUACUGGUUUCGGAGCGCAGCACAAGUCGCACUCUCUAUCAGCAAAGGUCUAGCAUCCAUUAAGCCUUUUUUUCAACUUUUGACCUCGGAUCAGGUAGGUAUACCCGCUGAACUUAAGCAUAUCAAUAAGCGGAGGA